UGGCGGUAUAGCUCAGUUGGUUAGAGCACGCGGCUCAUAUCCGCGGUGUCCGGGGUUCGAAUCCCUGUACCGCCACUUU
rnacentral:tRNA from 1 species